GGGGGUGCAAGCGUUGUUCGGAAUUAUUGGGCGUAAAGAGCGUGUAGCGCGUGAUAAGUCAGAUGUGAAAGCCCUGGGCUUAACCCAGGAAGUGCAUUUGAAACUGUCUUGCUUGAGUACGGGAGAGGGAAGAGGAAUUCCUGGUGUAGAGGUGAAAUUCGUAGAUAUCAGGAGGAACACCGGUGGCGAAGGCGACUUCCUGGCCCGAUACUGACNNUGAGACGCGAGAGCGUGGGGAGCAAACAGGAUUAGAUACCCUGGUAGUCCACGCCGUAAACGAUGUUCACUAGGUGUUGGGGUAUUGACCCCCUCAGUGCCGGMKAACGCAUUAAGUGAACCGCC
rnacentral:rRNA from 1 species